GUAGUCUCGCACAGAUGCAUAUCAAUAAGCGGAGGAAAAGAAACUAACAAGGAUUCCCCUAGUAACGGCGAGUGAAGCGGGAAGAGCUCAAAUUUGAAAUCUUAAAGGGUUUCCCUUUACGAAUUGUAGUUUAAAGAAGUGUUUUCUGUUGAGGUUUUGGUAAAAGUUCUUUGGAAUAGGACAUCAUAGAGGGUGAGAAUCCCGUAUUUGACCUUUACUUUCAACUUUGUGAUACACUUUCAAAGAGUCGGAUUGUUUGGGAAUGCAGUCCAAAAUGGGUGGUAAAUUUCAUCUAAAGCUAAAUAUUGGCGAGAGACCGAUAGCGAACAAGUACCGUGAGGGAAAGAUGAAAAGAACUUUGAAAAGAGAGUUAAACAGUACGUGAAAUUGUCAAAAGGGAAGCGUUUGACACCAGUGUUGUUUUUCUGAAAAUCAAUUAAAGAACUGUUUAUGCUAAGUUGUUUAGACUUUAUCAGCUAUCUGUUUAGUUUUGAGCUUUUCUUUAAUGCACUUUUCAGUUAACAAGUCAACAUCAAUUUCUUUUACUGUAAAAAAGCUUGAGGAAGGUGGCUUGAGAUUCGUCUUAAGUGUUUAUAGCCUCUUGCCUAUGCAGUCGGAGAGAUUGAGGUCUGCAGCGUAGAUCCUUCGGGGCUAAAUGCAUUUGUGCUAAGUUAUAGCAUUUUAUAGACAACUUGUUGACUAUGAUUUGUCUUGUAGCUUACUCGCUUAUGUUAUUUUACCUACGCUUAGGAUGUUGAAGACUCUACAGAGAUA
rnacentral:rRNA from 1 species